CUACGGAGGGUGCAAGCGUUAAUCGGAAUUACUGGGCGUAAAGCGUGCGCAGGCGGUUUGUUAAGUCAGAUGUGAAAGCCCCGGGCUCAACCUGGGAACUGCAUUUGAAACUGGCAAACUAGAGUGUGGUAGAGGGAAGUGGAAUUCCUCAUGUAGCGGUGAAAUGCGUAGAUAUGAGGAGGAACACCAGUGGCGAAGGCGACUUCCUGGACCAACACUGACGCUCAUGUACGAAAGCGUGGGUAGCAAACAGGAUUAGAUACCCCGGUAGUCC
rnacentral:rRNA from 1 species